rnacentral:rRNA from 1 species
GACGAACGCUGGCGGCGUGCUUAACACAUGCAAGUCGAACGGAAAGGCCCUGCUUGCAGGGUACUCGAGUGGCGAACGGGUGAGUAACACGUGGGUGAUCUGCCCUGCACUUCGGGAUAAGCCUGGGAAACUGGGUCUAAUACCGGAUAGGAGCCAUUUUUAGUGUGAUGGUUGGAAAGUUUUUUCGGUGUAGGAUGAGCUCGCGGCCUAUCAGCUUGUUGGUGGGGUAAUGGCCUACCAAGGCGGCGACGGGUAGCCGGCCUGAGAGGGUGGACGGCCACAUUGGGACUGAGAUACGGCCCAGACUCCUACGGGAGGCAGCAGUGGGGAAUAUUGCACAAUGGGAGCAAGCCUGAUGCAGCGAAGCCGCGUGGGGGAUGACGGCCUUCGGGUUGUAAACUCCUUUCGCUAGGGACGAAGCUUUUUGUGACGGUACCUAGAGAAGAAGCACCGGCUAACUACGUG